rnacentral:rRNA from 1 species
AGUGAACGCUGGCGGUAGGCCUAACACAUGCAAGUCGAACGGCAGCACAGGAGAGCUUGCUCUCUGGGUGGCGAGUGGCGGACGGGUGAGGAAUACAUCGGAAUCUACUCUGUCGUGGGGGAUAACGUAGGGAAACUUACGCUAAUACCGCAUACGACCUACGGGUGAAAGCAGGGGACCUUCGGGCCUUGCGCGAUUGAAUGAGCCGAUGUCGGAUUAGCUAGUUGGCGGGGUAAAGGCCCACCAAGGCGACGAUCCGUAGCUGGUCUGAGAGGAGGAUCAGCCACACUGGAACUGAGACACGGUCCAGACUCCGACGGGAGGCAGCAGUGGGGAAUAUUGGACAAUGGGAGCAAGCCUGAUCCAGCCAUCCCGCGUGGGUGAAGAAGGCCUUCGGGUUGUAAAGCCCUUUUGUUGGGAAAGAAAUCCAGCUGGCUAAUACCCGGUUGGGAUGACGGUACCCAAAGAAUAAGCACCGGCUAACUUCGUGCCAGCCGCCGCCGUAA